rnacentral:misc_RNA from 1 species
CUGAAGUGUCAACACGAGGUGCUGCUGGUCCUCNGUCGGGGGACAUGUGCACGCUCUGUUCACACAUCCACUCACACCUGUGCACCCUCUGUAGGUCUGUGGCCUGAGGGCCUCUGCCCUCUUGCCGUGGUUCUAUGUCUUUACACACACACUGUAAUAAGGUCUCAUGGAAUGCACAUCGCGUUUAACGCAANACAAUAC